rnacentral:tRNA from 2 species
AGGCGGUUAACUCAGCGGUAGAGUGCCACCUUCACACGGUGGAAGUCACUGGUUCGAUCCCAGUACCGCCUACCA